UACGGAGGGUGCAAGCGUUGUUCGGAUUUACUGGGCGUAAAGCGCGCGCAGGUGGGUGAACAAGUCGGAAGUGAAAUCUUGAGGCUCAACCUCGAGGCUGCUCCCGAAACUGUUCGCCUGGGGACUGGUAGAGGCUGGUAGAAUUCCCGGUGUAGCGGUGGAAUGCGUAGAGAUCGGGAAGAAUACCCGUGGCGAAGGCGGCCAGCUGGGCCAGAUCCGACACUGAGGAGCGAAAGCGUGGGUAGCAAACAGG
rnacentral:rRNA from 1 species